rnacentral:lncRNA from 1 species
UUCUGCACGAGCUAGGGGAAAAUUUGCUUUCCUUCGCCAACUUUUUGCUGCAAAGAAGGCUAAGAACUAACUCACAGUAAGCUGGCAAAACUUUCAACACUUUACGCGAUAGGACAUCUUCCCAAGCAGAGGGAUGACAAGUGUUGAACAGAAACAAUGUUAGUCGAUUAACAAAGGAACAAAAACAAGUAGUUAAUGUCAUUGUAAAGUAAGUUUGUUACCUGUACUUUCUUGUUCAUAUCCAAUCCUCUCAUUUAUAUGGGAAUCUCUGUAGUAGUAGGCCGUAUAGUAACAGUUUUCUUUUGCAUUUAUCACUUAACAAUGUGUUGCUCUUCAGAAUGUUAUCCAUCUUAAGCUAAUUUUUAAAGAAUGUCACACUCCUAAUUUGAAUUAAGAUAUUGGUAGGCCCUCUGAA